AGCGAACGCUGGCGGCAGGCUUAACACAUGCAAGUCGAGCGCCCCGCAAGGGGAGCGGCAGACGGGUGAGUAACACGUGGGAACGUGCCUUUUGGUUCGGAACAACCCAGGGAAACUUGGGCUAAUACCGGAUAAGCCCUUACGGGGAAAGAUUUAUCGCCAAAAGAUCGGCCCGCGUCUGAUUAGCUAGUUGGUGGGGUAAUGGCCCACCAAGGCUACGAUCAGUAGCUGGUCUGAGAGGAUGAUCAGCCACAUUGGGACUGAGACACGGCCCAAACUCCUACGGGAGGCAGCAGUGGGGAAUAUUGGACAAUGGGGGCAACCCUGAUCCAGCCAUGCCGCGUGAGUGAUGAAGGCCUUAGGGUUGUAAAGCUCUUUUAGCAGGGAAGAUAAUGACGGUACCUGCAGAAAAAGCCCCGGCUAACUUCGUGCCAGCAGCCGCCGUAAGAC
rnacentral:rRNA from 1 species